GACGAACGCUGGCGGCGUGCCUAAUACAUGCAAGUCGAACGCAGUGGGGACGGGUGAGUAACACGUGGGUAACCUCCCAUCAGAGGGGAUAACACUUGGAAACAGGUGCUAAACCGAUACUGAUGGAUGGACCCGCGGUGCAUUAGCUAGUUGGUGAGGUAACGGCUCACCAAGGCCACGAUGCAUAGCGGACCUGAGAGGGUGAUAAGCAACACUGGGACUGAGACACGGCCCAGACUCCUACGGGAGGAAGAAGUAGGGAAGAUUCGGCAAUGGAAGAAAGUCUGACCGAGCAACGCCGCGUGAAUGAAGAAGGUUUUCGGAUCGUAAAGCUCUGUUGUUAGAGAAGCGGUAUCUGACCAAAAAGCCACGGCUAACUACGUGACAGCCGCCGCGGUAAUUC
rnacentral:rRNA from 1 species